ensembl:snRNA U1 U1 spliceosomal RNA
AUACUUACCUGGCAGGGGAGAUACCAUGAUCACAACGAUGGUUUUUCAGGGCGAGGCUUGUACAUUGCACUCUGGAUGUGCUGACCCCUGCAAUUUCCCCAAAUGUGGGAAACUCCACUGCAUAAUUUGUGGUUGUGGGGAACUGUGUUCAUGAUUUCCCC